GAUGAACGCUGGCGGCGUGCCUAAUACAUGCAAGUCGAGCGAACGGACGAGAAGCUUGCUUCUCUGAUGUUAGCGGCGGACGGGUGAGUAACACGUGGAUAACCUACCUAUAAGACCGGGAUAACUUCGGGAAACCGGAGCUAAUACCGGAUGAUAUUUUGAACCGCAUGGUUCAAAAGAGAAAGACGGUCUUGCUGUCACUUAUAGAUGGAUCCGCGCUGCAUUAGCUAGUUGGUAAGGUAACGGCUUACCAAGGCAACGAUGCAUAGCCGACCUGAGAGGGUGAUCGGCCACACUGGAACUGAGACACGGUCCAGACUCCUACGGGAGGCAGCAGUAGGGAAUCUUCCGCAAUGGGCGAAAGCCUGACGGAGCAACGCCGCGUGAGUGAUGAAGGUCUUCGGAUCGUAAAACUCUGUUAUUAGGGAAGAACAUAUGUGUAAGUAACUGUGCACAUCUUGACGGUACCUAAUCAGAAAGCCACGGCUAACUACGUG
rnacentral:rRNA from 1 species